rnacentral:rRNA from 1 species
CCUACGGGUGGCAGCAGUCGAGAAUCAUUCACAAUGGGGGAAACCCUGAUGGUGCGACGCCGCGUGGGGGAAUGAAGGUCUUCGGAUUGUAAAUCCCUGUCAUGUGGGAGCAAAUUAAAAAGAUAGUACCACAAGAGGAAGAGCCGGCUAACUCUGUGCCAGCAGCCGCGGUAAUACAGAGGUCUCAAGCGUUGUUCGGAAUCACUGGGCGGAAGGCGUGCGUAGGCUGUUUCGUAAGUCGUGUGUGAAAGGCGCGGGCUCAACCCUCGGACGGCACAUGACACUGCGGGACUAGAGUGAGGGAGAGGGAACCGGAAUGCUCGGUGUAGCAGUGAAAUGCGUAGAUAUCGAGAGGAACACUCGUGGCGAAGGCGGGUUCCUGGACAUUAACUGACGCUGAGGCACGAAGGCCAGGGGAGCGAAAGGGAUUAGAUACCCGAGUAGUC